rnacentral:lncRNA from 7 species
GGUUUUAGAAUUACAGGUAAGCAUAUUCUUCUGAUAUUUGUGUGUAUUUCCUGCUUAAAUUGUUGUUCUCACUCAGCUAACUGUGCCAGUGUACAGUAAUACUCUGAGGCAAAUAUUUCUGCCAUCUCUGAUACUGAUGGAAGUUUUCUGCAUGAAGACAGGCAUCUUUGAGUCUAAACUUCUGUCUGCAUCUACUCAAAUCUUUCGAGCUCUAAGAAUCUUUAGGCCAGAAUUAGAGGGGAUCUAAUUUUUUUUCCUUGCCCUUCCAGGUUAAUUUUAAGCCCAGCAUUAACAGAUUUUCCAAAGCUGUAAAUUGAAGACUUGCUCCCUAUAGAGUGGUGAAGAAAAGAUGCAACAGCUGAAUGUGGUAGUUGGACUUGGGACAGAUGGCGUGCAAGAGCAAAUGCUCCAGAAGGGAAAGUGGUUUUACAGAGAGGGAUUACAUGGGCUCUACACUGACUGAACAGUCCUGCACUGCUCUUCGAUUGUUUAACUGUUGUCACAGAACUAAAGUUGAUGCCUCCUCCCCAUCUCAUGUGUGGAAGAGGAGCUGCAGUCCCCAUGGGCUCCCUGCAUGGCUCAUGAAUUUCCCAGAUGAUUCUCCAGAGCGGUCUUUCAGGUGAAACGUGUUCUCCAACCUCUGGCAGCCCCAGCCUUUCCAGGUCUCCUUGCCCAUCAGCACCAGCACAGCCAGCGUUUCAGGAGCAGCUGCUGAGCGAUGCCCUGAAGCUCUGUCUGCAUGGCUGCAUCACAGAGAGUAGCACGGACUGUCUUGCAAGAAUGGAAAACUGUGAGAAAGAAUGUGAAGGUACAGGAAGGCAAUGUGUCCAUCUGAAGUUUAUGGAAGUGCAAUUGCCAGUAUGCACCUUGGGUCUAAAGCAACAUUCAGACUGAUACUUAAAGUAGCAGUGCGUGUCUUGCUAGUUGCCCUUACUCUCACGGGUAUCACAGCUUUUCUGUGCUUGACUCUUUUUCAUACCCUUUUUCUGUAUGGAAUGGGAAAGUAAGAAUAGCUGGAAUGUUUGUGCAUUUCACAAAAUGGCAUGAAUUAUAGCACGCAC